UUGCAGCCGAUUAAGCCAACUGAGUUCUUUUCCGCGUGGAGGCCUGGUGUGCGAUGGCUGCAAACAGCAGUCUCCCCCGCGGUGCGUGCAGCCUGCUGCCUGUAGGCAUUGCCUUAAGGAACCCUGGAGACAGCC
ensembl:snoRNA SNORA70 Small nucleolar RNA SNORA70